CUGCUCAGAUGACGAUGCUUAGUAGAUCAUGUUCCUGCUAUUUUAGUUACUAGUUUCACUUUUUCUCUCUUCAGUAUAUUCACAAGCAUGAAGUUGCACAGUUACUAAAAAGAGCAGAGGAGAGGGGUUUUUGAUAGUAAAAAUAGAAUGAGAUUUUAGUCUUAAACAUGGAUUAGUGUCAAAACUCCUGAUCUAUACUGGAGGGAGGUUCAUAUGUCAAGGGAAGAUCUUGAUCUUAAUUCUCUGCAUGGAAAUCUGAAGUAGCUACCCACCGUGUCAAAUGUUUUGUUGGAAACCUCAUUGAGAGCAUAGGGCAUAAGAAGAUGGGCUUCUGCAAUUGUUCUAUGCCAGGAAAGGGGAGUGAUUCCAUCCAAUUCAAUCUCUGAAUGCUUUGCCUCAGCCCCAUAGGACAAAGGAAGACAUUCCCUACUGAGGCCUGGAGUUUGCUGGUGUGGGACUGUCAAUGCAGUACUAUAGAAAUAAUUGGUGUUUGUGUGUGCUCCCAGUUGGGAUUGGAGUGUUUAGGUGCAGCUCUCUGCAUGGGUCCCCGUUUAGCCACACCAUGAGCACACACCAGCACAAUCUGCCCAGGAGCUGGGUGUUUUGGAUGGAUGAAGAGAUGUCAGGUUUAUUCAUUCAGGAAAAGGCACAAAUCUUCAUUGCAAAGGAUUGUGAAGGACUCUGACAACUGACAGCAGCAAAUUGACUUGGUUGCUUGGUGCCACGUGUAAAUGAGGGGCUUUUGUUUGCACAAGGGCAGCUCUGCUUAUAUCAUGUUCUCCUUCAAGAGAUUAAUUCUUCCUAGACUUAAUGUUAGCACAGUGAGUCCAGAGAUAUUACUCAUCAAUUAAAAAUUCAAUAAAAAUAAGCUGUCAUUACCAUAAUCCUUCAGACUGGGAAACAUGAGGUCGAGAGUUGUACCAUCCUGGCCUGUGACAAAAGCCCCAAAGACUGCCAGCUGUGGUGUUAAUUGAUUGGUGUCAUUUAUAAGUAAUCUAAAAAUCCUGAAUAAUUUAUUUUGCAGUGGCAUGUGCUGAAAAUAUAGAACUGCACAGAUAUUUGCACAGCUUCAGAAGAAAUAGUGCUAAACAGGGUGUAAAGGCAAAGAUUAAGAUUCAGUGAUCUCCUUAGGAGCACUUUAUCAUAUGCUCUGCUCUCCAGUGCUUUUUUUGACAGCAGAAGUAUAUAGAUCUGACAAUAGGAAUGUAUAGACCUGGGUGGUCAACACAUACAGGCUCAAUAUUCUCUUUCACAGCAGACUAAUGAGCUUUAAAAGCGAGGAAGGUAGAAGCCAAGCAGGAAAUACGCAGUGCUGAGGACAGCCCUGCCGAACCACAAUAAAAAAUUGACUGCUGUGUUUCCACAACAAGGAUGCUGAUGAUGGGAAAAGUCUAAUGAUUUAAUCUCUUGCCUGCCAAAAUGGGAUAAAAAUUCUUGCCGUUGACUGAGCAGGUUUUCCAGGGGUCACCUCACGGGGAGUGACUCUCCUCAACCCACACUGUUUUUACAACUGCAUGAAAAACCUCAGCUGACACACUUUGAAAUCAAGAGGAACCACCCCAGAGAGCCCAAAGGACUGAAGAGGCUGGCAGCCAAAGCCAAAUUUCUUCCCUUAUGGAUGCACAACUGAAAAGUUCCUGUGAGCUCUUACUUGCUCAGACAAAGCUGCGCCUAAAGUCAAAGGCUGACAACCUGGGUCUGUUUCGAGUCCACAUCACCCCUCUCCCAGGAUGAAUCCCACCCCCACAGGCCAAACCCUGCUCCUUUUCAUUUCUCUCUUAGGCUUGUCCCUAAAUUCCAUUUUGCUUGAAUGAUUAACUGCAUUUCUGGGAGUUGCUUUGAAAAACUGUGUAUAUACACUGUAACUGAACCCUAAUCCCACGCAUGUUUGCAAAAGAACGUGGAACUCAACCCCAAAACACUCAUGAUGAAGGGAUGGGGUCCUUACAACAUCAUUUCUGUGCUGUUGUAUCAAAUUUUUAAAGUAGAAAAUUGUAUUCUUGAAACCAGAUUCAUGUGGCUAGCUUAAAACUGCAUUCGUACAAAACAUUUGUAUUUUAACAAGUGUGGCAGGGUGGGGGAUUUCUUUCUGAACGUAAGCUUUUGAAGUGAAGUGAUCAUGCAGAAAUCCUAACUUUAAUUUCACAAAGUUUUUGGUUCUUCAAUCUGGUCUUGGAAAGGAGCCUAAAAAUUCAACCAAAUAUAGCUAAAUGCCUCAGAAACUAGAAUGACAGGGAAAAAGGCAUACAAACUUUUAUUUUAAAACUCUUUUUUUUCCCCCUUCCUCCUGACUUUGACCCUGUUUUGGGACCCAGAGGGUGAACCUACUAACCCUGAGUACGAUGAGCUCUGCUAUCUCCAUGGGACUUUUCCAUCUGCGUUGCAUUUUGAGAGCUAUGCUUGUUUGAGGGGAGUGCCAACUGCAGGCAGCAAAUCCCAUCUCUCUCCAGAGGAGUCAACAGAGAGCUCUCCCUGACUUCAGUCAAUGCUGGAUAGCAUCCAAAGAGAGUGAGGGCAGCAGGGAAUAAACUUGUUAUCAUUAUUCAUGUUGGUUGUGUAAACAGCGCUCACUUGUGACUGAGAAAUAUGUGACUUUUUCCUAUCAUUUUAAGAAAAAAAAAAACAUUUACCAAGAAAAUAAUCAUUACUGCAGACUGCUCAUUUUUCCCAUUGCUCUGCAUGUAAGAGCACGCAUUGGUACAAAUACAACUGAUCUGGUUAAGUGUUUUAAUACACCGGGGAGUAAAUUGUUUGGGAUGAAAGAAAUUCAUUAUCCCCAGUUUGCAGGGCUGAAAGUCUGGCUGUUUUUAUGUUACUGCUGAGUAAAAAAUUUGAAAUUGCAUGCUGUGGCAAGCUGAAUAUGUCUUUAGAUUCUAGUCUAGUACACUAAGCAUAUUAAUUAGAUUACUGUUCAUUCUUUCAGUAGUGCUGAAUCCCCAACAUGGCUAGUAGGAUAACUAAAGGUAAUCAGCCAAAGAAGAGCCAAUUUUCCCUAGAUUAUUCUUCCAUUAAUUUAAUUCACAAGGGGAAAAAUUCGUGGUUUCCUCCUAGGAUAGGAAUGGGCAAAACAUAAGUGGUAAAGACAGAAUAUCUCAAGAGGUCACAGAUGAACCCAAGAGCUAAUGUAUUUGCAGGAGGCAGGGGAGUGUCUCAGGCUGUGGACUGCAGCAGUGUGUGUGCUCCCACUCCAGGCAAUGCAGGUUAGACCCUCUCCUCCCCCUGCAAACUGAGGGCUCCUGUGCACAGCAAACAAGUGUUUGGACAAGAGAUUCUGUGAUAAAAUUAAAGAACCUCCUCAACUAGG